UAGCAGCUUGGGGGUGAUCUAAGCCAGGGAACUGGUGUGGGGAUUUAAUCCCCUGUGCCCUCCACCCAGAUUGAGCCUGUUUAUGGCUGUAUUUGGGGAAAGAUCUGUGUUGUUUCAGUCAGGGAACUCCCAUGCUAUGUCUAGUUUGACUCUCUGCCUCCCAUGUAUUUGUUGAAGUCUACAUUCUGGCUGGCAGUAAUCCUUGCAAGCGAAGAAGCAACCCUCUCUAAGCAGGUAAAGUACAGAGAAGAGCAAAUCUGCCUCCUAGUGGUAGCCUUAGGGUACUACCAGGAUCAAUGGUAAACUGCACUUUGGCAUUCUUCCCUUGAAAUAGGAAUGCUGUUUUUGUUGUCCACCUGAAAUUGAUUAGGCUAUCAUGAGUUUUACCUUACUGGUGAUAUCUUAUGAAAACUCCCCACAACUAAACUGGCCCGUGUCACUUUCCAAGAAAAUAGCACUAAUUUUAAAUGUAGCAUAAAAGAGGAGUGCUGACACUUGUCACCAGAGCCAGAGGAAGCACUGGAAGUGUGGUCCUUAAUGUCUCGAAAGAGGGGUGCUGGGGGUUCAAGAUCAAUUCCCCUCCCAUAACAUGAGCUGUAUCUAAAUGGGUUGGGGAUUAUUCAGGGUCCAGGAUGAGACAAAAACAUUUUCAAAAUGCUUUUAGGCAUUCUGGUCUGUUUUGUGGGCACCAAAGUUCAGUUGGGGUAGUAUUGCAACAAGUUCUGGGGUUGAGCCUUGACUCCAGUUAAGUUCAUGGGACAGGGCCCAGGGAGCCCAAAUUUAGUGUCUGGGGUUGGCAAGCUUAGAGGGCGGCACCCCAAAGGUCACACUAUACUGGCACCCACAGACAGAAACUGGAAGAGGUCACCGGUCAGGCUUGAUGAGGCAGUAAACUAAAAGGUAUUGCUAAAAUACUGUGGAGAGCUUUGGACUGGACGUAGCCCCCGUGGAGGAUGCAGGUGUGUAGAUGGUGCAGGGCAGUUCUCCCACUGACAGGAGAGGAGGCUUUGAUGCCAGGGGCUGGGGGAGGAGGCGGGCCGCAGCCCAAGAAGCAGAGUUCCUUUCCCAUGGCCUGCGGUAGCUUUCUUUACACACCCUCCAUCUCUUCCCCUGACAUAUUUUGCAUUUCUCUCUCUCUCUAUCUUAUCUUGUUCUUGCUCCCUCCCUUCACUCCUCUGUUCCCAGCUGGCCCCAUUGUUUUCUGGUUCUCAGCCCUGGGCCUCAGCUGGUUCUCCACCUGCGCCCCCACCAGCCAUCCUGCUGAAGGAGGAGAUGGCAGGUCUCCUUGAUAACAGGCAGACAAAACAAAGACCUUCUGUGCUGUGAUGAGGCAACUGGAACUGACCACUGUUGGAAACAGAAUCCUGGGCUAAGGAUAGUCACAGCCUAAAGUUACCAUCAAAACAAAGUUCUCUCUGGAACACUAGCAUUCCUAGGCACAAUGUUUGGAUGUCCCUGCUUUACACUUAUGGAAGAAAAUGUGGUAUGGAUGCGUCAUCACGAAGCAACUUCCUUCUGGUAGGGUCAGCCACUGUCUGGAUUUCUAUCCUCUCCCUCCGCUCCCUGCAAAUGAAAGAACAGGAUCUGCUGUUUACUGUCUUCCACAAAUCCCCUCUUUUGGACAGAAACGCUACUGGUUACAAAAUAGACUGGAAGGCUGCCAAGGACACGGAGUGCUAAGUUAAAUGGCAGGCAAGGACAAGAGCUGGGCCAGGUCUGGUGCAGUGCUUGAGUGGAAAGGGGGGCCAGGGAGCAUUCCAGUAUGUUGGGGUCCCCUUAGGCACCCCAAAGUGUGCAGUGUGGCUUAGGCAGGUUGGGAAUUGCUCUGAUUUCUUGGGAACUUUGUCAUAUUGUAUGUGAGACUUAAAGCGUUCCUGGGUGAAAGAGGUGAGGGGGAAGGCAUCUGUAUAGACUGUACUCCGCUCCCAUUGCUCUAUUGUUCUAAGAGCCUAGGUGGUAUUCAAACAUCUUUGUGUUUUUGAAUGCCAUAUGCCUCCCUUGAAAAUGCAAACACUUCCCAGAAAUGUCAGUUCCAUAAUCUCUUCUGGAUUUGUCUGUCUAUCUCAGAUAGAUGGACAGAAGUUUGAUAACAGAUAAUAGUCUCCAUGGGACUGAAGCAACUUAAUUGUGUAGCCUACCUCAUCCUUGGUGAGGGGAGGAUUACGAGAUAAAUUACACAUAAAAUAGCAAAGCCAAAAUCAUAUUAGACAGAAUGUACACUACAGCCUGAUUUCCAAUUAAAAGCUUAACCCUAGCCACCAAAACCUAACAUUUAACUGCCAGAAAAGCUGGUCUUAUCAGCUUCUGUAUUUUGCGCUCUGCCCUAUAGAUGUAUUGUGGAGCUGAAAUCAACUUUUGCACAACUUCAAAUUCAGUUUGCCUUUGGAUGGUGACUAUAUGUAAGCACAGUAAGGUAUUCCACUUAGAGGAUGGGACCAUAGCUCAGUAGAAGAGCAGAAGGUCCCAGGUUCACUCCCUAGCAUCUCCAGGUAGGGCGGGGAGAGCCUCCUGCCUGAAACCUUGGAGAGCUGCUGCCAGUCAGUGUAGACAAGACUGAGCUAGAUGGACCAAUGGUCUGACUCAUGUAAGAUUCAUUCCAUUGUCCUGUCAUUGCCAUAAGAACCUAUGAAUUACCUUGUUAGAUCAUUCAGUCUACUCCAGCAGCAUUCUGGUUCUGAUAGUGAAUUAGUCAGAUCUCCAUGGAAGCUCAGAGCAUCUUAUUUUUGGUUUAAAAUAUGUGUUCUUACUGUAUGCAUUAUUAUUAUUAUUAUUAUUUAUUUAUGUAUUUAUUGUUAUUUCUUGUUUACACAGUCAGACAGGUGUUAUUGACUGGUUUGUUUUAUCCAGACAUCGAGUCCUUCCCAAGGACCUGGGAUGGCUGAAUUUUAUUAUCAACAUUGCUGUUGUUGUUGUUGUUAUAGAUAUCGUCGCAGAAUAUAGGCUGUUCCCAGUAAAGCUGCUUUUUGUAAUUGGCUGAUGGUGAUUUCUGUGGCCCCUAUGGUGUUGAGGUGCUCUUCAAGGUGUUUUGGAAUUGCACCUAGGGCGAAAAUUACUACUGAGAUUUUUUUAGUCUUCUUCUGCCACAGCCUUUCUAUUUCAAUUUGUAGAUCUUUGUAUUUUGUGAUUUUUUUUCUGUUUCUUUUUCUUCUAUUCUGCUAUCCCCUGGUAUUGCUAUGUCGAUUAUUUUAACUUGUUUUUCUUUCUUCUCGACUACAGUUAUAUCUGGUGUAUUGUGUGGCAGAUGUUUGUCUGUCUGUAGUCGGAAGUCCCAUAAUAUUUUUGCAUCUUCAUUUUCUACAACUUUUUCAAUUUUAUGGUCCCACCAAUUUUUGGCUACAAGUAGCUUGUAUUUUUUGCAGACGUUCCAGUGCAUCAUCCCUGCCUCCUUGUCAUGCCUUUGUUUGUUGUCAGUCUGUGCAAUCUUUUUACAACUGAUUAGGUGUUCCCUUGUUUCAUCUGCUUCUUUACAAAGGUGGCACUUGCUGUUUGUUGUGGAUUUUUCGACUUUUGCUCUUAUUGCAUUUGUUCUUAGUGCCUAUUCUUGCGCAGCCAGUAUUAAACCCUCUGUUUCUUUCUUCAAGUAACCAUUCUUAAGCCAUUGCCAGGUCUUGGUGAUGUCUGAUUUUCCAGUUAUAUUGUGCAAAUAUUGACCAUGCAGUGGCUUAUUUUUCCAUUUUUCUGCUCUGUUCUUGACUUGUUCUUUCCUGUAGGCCUGCUUUGUUUCAUUGGUGUUGAAUAGUUUUGCGUUAUUGACCAUUUUAAGUGCAUCUUCCUCACUGUCCUUGAUAUAUUCUUCAAGGCCUCUUUUCUCCUCCUCUACUGCUUGAUAGACUUGCAGCAUUCCUCUUCCACCUGAGCUGCGAGGGAGGUAUAGCCUAUCUACAUCACUGUGGGGGUGCAGAGCAUGGUUGAUGGUCAUUAUUUUCCUGGUCUUACGAUCUAACGUCUCUAUCUCUGCCUGGGUCCAGUCUAUUAUUCCUGCAGUGUAUCUGAAAACAGGUAUAGCCCAGGUGUUUAUGGCUUGUAUGGUGUUCCCGCCAUUGAGUUUGGACUUGAGGAUUUUUCUAACUCUCCUGAUGUAUUCACUUCCCAUUUUUCUUUUAACUUCAGUGUGUGUGAUGGAGAAUGCCCAAGUAUUUGUAAUGUUCUUUCUCUUCCAGGUUCUUGAUCUUGCUUCCAUUGGGCACGCAGUUCUAUUCCUUCUGUUUUUCUUAUUUUCCCUCUGUUCAUUAUUAAUGCAGCACACUUGUCUAGUCCAAACUCCAUUGCUAUAUCAUUUCUGAAUAUACGGACAGUGUUUAGCAGUGAUUCAGUUUCUGACUGGGACUUUCCAUACAACUUCAGAUCGUCCAUGUACAGCAGAUGGUUGAUUUAACUUGAUGUUUUAGAUGUUUGGUAUCCGAGGCCUGUUUUGUUUAGAAUUUGUGAAAGUGGGGUCAUGGCAAUUACAAACAAUAGAGGGGAUAGUGAGUCCCCUUGGAAAAUGCCUCUUCUAAUGCUAACCUGUCCAAGUGUCUCGCCAUUGAUUGUUAACUGUGUACUCUACGUGCGCAUUGCUUUUUUUCUAAAUAUCUGAAUGUUUUUGUUGACACCAGUUGUUUCUAAACAUUGUAGUAGUAGUAGUAGUAGUAGUAGUAGUAGUAGUAGUUUUAUUAUUUAAAAUGUUUAUCUGGCAAAAUAACAUAACUUGACUAAGGUACAAGAGGAAAAGGUACUGCUACAUUGGACGUUGUAAAAAGAGCUUAUGAUUGUAUUUGAAAUAUUCUUUUGACUGUAAGGAAGCCACAAUAAUUGGACUAGGUAAUUAUGAUCCCUGCUAACUGAGCUAAGAGGCACUUCUAUUUAAAAGUGAUGAUUAUCUUUAUUUAGCAGGAGGCAAGCAACUGGCCCUAUCCAUCCCCAGCACAGCAUCCCUCCAGUGGUUGUUGCUGAUGUCUGUUUUAUGUUUCUUUUUUAGAUUGUGAGCCCUUUGGGGACUGGCAGCCAUUAUUUAUUUAUUUAUUUAUUUAAUAUCUAUGUCAACUGCUUUAGGAACUUUUUUUGAAAAGCGGUAUAUAAGUAUUCAUUGUAUUGUAUUAUAUUGCAAUACUGGGGCAAAGCAAAUCCAGGUCCACUCAGUCCUAGUGCAAAAGUGUGUGUAUGGGGAGGGAGGGGAGCCUUCAUUGUUGUUAAUCACCAGGGGGCAGCAUGAGCCCUCUGCAUCUGAAAGGGGUGGAGCUACAGCCCAGUGGGAAAGGGUGGCCGGAGAAACACGGCGGCUGAUGUAGAAGGCGGAUUCUCAGGUAGAUUUGGAACACUUGGUGCUUGUGGGCUGCAGAGAGAGAGAGUUGUAGAAAGCCGCAGAGUGGGCUCAGAGACACGGUGGAGAGUAGCCAACCUGCAGAAAGCAGUCAGCAACCUGAAAUAGCAGGGGACUUCUGACACCACCAUUCUUCUUCUGCGCAUAUAUAUAAUAAUGUCAUAAUUGCGGUUUGGUGGUGCAACAUGGCAAUUAUAUUGUGCAAUAUGCAUACAAGAAUGACGGGUGUAGGAUGUGGAGCUCCAGUGGAGGCCUGACUUCGGGAGCAAGAGGCACCAGUUAUGAAGCCAUAACAGGCUGCAAGGUAAGAGACGUGCCUCUCUGUGUCAAGAGACAAAGCGGUUCUGGGGAAGUGCACAAAGUCAUUUCACAUCUUUGUGGAGAGUGCAAGUUUUAAAACAGAAAGCAGCAUUUGGAAGUUCAAACCAUAGACAAGCCAAUGAGGGAUUAGGCUUGGGGGACUUAACAGAGAGGGGGAUCAAACUCUGGGAUGGAAUGCUGAGGGUGGGAGCAGAUUCCCCGCACCCACCCCACCUAUAAGAAGCCCUGGCACCCAUUUGGCAAACACAGUGGAAUGGACUUAACUGGGCAAAGUUAUUUGUUAAAUAAAUAAAUAAAUAAA